AAAAGAUCUGUGGGAGUACAUUGAGG
rnacentral:piRNA from 1 species